GAGUGCUGGGAUUAAAGACAUAUGCCAUCAUGCCUGGUUUCACAUCUUCCUCUUAACCUUUUUAUUUUCUGGAGAGUUGACCAUGAACCAUGCAUGGUUCAACAGACUGACUCCAGUAAAGAUGCAGUAUGGGAAAGAUCCUUAGCCUCAGUUCCUGUAAACGGCUUCCUAAAAUUAACCCUACAAUGGAUUCUGACUGUGUUCUCAUCAGUGCCUACUUCUUCCCAGGAUGGACUGAAACUUCUUGCCAUGGAGCUCCAGUUCUGAGGAACCAAAGCCACCAAAUUCUCCCUUGUCACUACCACAAUGGGAAACAUCAAACUGUGCAGCAUUGUUGAGAAUAUGAACUCCAGCAACCACUAAAUGAUUCUAUUCAUCAGAUGUAUGAGUGCCCAGCACUAGCCAAUGAAAGGCAUAAUCCUUUCCUUCUGGUUUCAUCACUUCAGGAAGCCACUGAAUGUGCCAUCUUCCUAGGAACUCCUGCACCAGGAGUGCUAAGUGGAGGAAGAAACGAAUGUGCAGGCUGAAGCCAAGAGAGGAAAGACGAGGCAGAGGUCCAAUAAACUAGGCUUGUGCACCCUGAGGCUAAUGGAGCAGAAGCAAGGGAUGCUGAAGGCCGGGGCUUCGGUACAAGUCGCUGGACUGUGUGCUACUAUCGCAGAAGUCUGAUGGACCUGGAACAUCGCCAUCGGCUCGCAGAGACCACCUGAGAGACUUUGCUUUCAUUACAACCAAAGCAUUCCCACUGGCCCUAGGCUCUAGACCUAUGGCAUUCUGGACUCCUUCUGUUCUCACUUGUGGCCAAGUGUAACUUGUGUACAAUAAGCCAUCUUUUCUCGCUGUCUCAGCUGAAGAAUAAAAAAAAAAAAAAAAGUCUAAAGUAAGAAAGCAGAUCUGUGGAUGGUAUGUGAAGUGAGUAGAAAAUUUCUUAAUAAAGAAAAAAAUUUGAAAAAAAAAAAGAAUGGAGGAAGCAGAGGCAAAUACCAAUACUAACUUUUUAGAAUUAAAGAUGACAGUAUAAUCCAAUUUUUGAAAAUAUGGUUGUCUGUGGGGAAAAGAAGAAACAAAUGUAGAAGUCUGCCUUCUAGCAGUGUCUUG